AGCGAACGCUGGCGGCAGGCUUAACACAUGCAAGUCGAACGCCCCGCAAGGGGAGUGGCAGACGGGUGAGUAACACGUGGGAGCGUACCCUUUGGUUCGGAAUAACUUGGGGAAACUCAAGCUAAUACCGGAUAAGCCCUUAUGGGGAAAGGUUUACUGCCGAAGGAUCGGCCCGCGUCUGAUUAGCUAGUUGGUGAGGUAAUGGUUCACCAAGGCGACGAUCAGUAGCUGGUCUGAGAGGAUGAUCAGCCACACUGGGACUGAGACACGGCCCAGACUCCUACGGGAGGCAGCAGUGGGGAAUAUUGGACAAUGGGGGCAACCCUGAUCCAGCCAUGCCGCGUGAGUGAUGAAGGCCUUAGGGUUGUAAAGCUCUUUUACCCGGGACGAUAAUGACUGUACCGGGAGAAUAAGCCCCGGCUAACUUCGUGCCAGCCGCCGCGGUAA
rnacentral:rRNA from 1 species